rnacentral:rRNA from 1 species
AACGAACGCUGGCGGCAUGCCUAACACAUGCAAGUCGAACGAAGCCUUCGGGCUUAGUGGCGCACGGGUGCGUAACGCGUGGGAAUCUGCCCUUGGGUUCGGAAUAACAGUUAGAAAUGACUGCUAAUACCGGAUGAUGUCUUCGGACCAAAGAUUUAUCGCCCAAGGAUGAGCCCGCGUAGGAUUAGGUAGUUGGUGGGGUAAUGACCCACCAAGCCGACGAUCCUUAGCUGGUCCGAGAGGAAGAUCAGCCACACUGGGACUGAGACACGGCCCAGACUCCUACGGGAGGCAGCAGUGGGGAAUAUUGGACAAUGGGCGAAAGCCUGAUCCAGCAAUGCCGCGUGAGUGAUGAAGGCCUUAGGGUUGUAAAGCUCUUUACCAGGGAUGAUAAUGACAGUACCUGGAGAAUAAGCUCCGGCUAACUCCGUGCCAGCCGCCGCGGUAAUAC